rnacentral:rRNA from 1 species
CCCUUAGAUGUCCUGGGCCGCACGCGCGUUACACUGAUGCAUUCAACGAGCUUAUAACCUUGGCCGAGAGGGCUGGGCAAUCUUGUUAACGUGCAUCGUGAUAGGGAUAGAUUAUUGAAAUUAUUAAUCUUGAACGAGGAAUUCCUAGUAAACGCAGAUCAUCAAUCUGCAUUGAUUACGUCCCUGCCCUUUGUACACACCGCCCGUCGCACCUACCGAUUGGAUGGUCCGGUGAAGCCUCGGGAUUGUGGUUCUUGCCGCUUUAUUGUGGCGUGACCGCGAGAACUUGUCUAAACCUUAUCAUCUAGAGGAAGGUGAAGUCGUAACA